UCUGUUUCCGAGGGCCCGACUCCCGAUGAUGUAACAAUCUCUUCGCUCAUGUUCACAGUCUCCGGGUGGACGGUGUUAUCCUCUCCGCUCAGAGCUGAAGUGGGUCGGCUGUGUGAUCGGGAAAGACUUUCAUCUCUUCCCACGGGAUCAGUGUCUGCGGGCCGAAGAUAUCACUUUCCCAUCGUUAGACCUGCAGUGAGACAUUUAUUGGAAGAAAAGCACACAACUGGAAGCAGAGCGCGACUGAAGACGAGGGAACAGCAGCAAGUGAAACAGCCCGAGGAUUGAGAGCACCGACUGGAGAGAACCCAUCUGACUCGGAGAUUCCAGUGAUUCAGUCAGGAGAAAGUUGGGCCAUGAGUUAAAAAUUUCGCCGUCGAUGAAAUGCGCAGGCGUCAGGCUGAGGACGUCCCCGAGUAUUAGGCAUGCGCGCAGCACACUGAAGGCAUUGAAAAUGUCGGAUGCAGGUUAAAAAUGACAAGGAAUUUGCCUACGGGAAUCUCGAACACAACACACCAGUUUUGCUGUCUCUGUCCAGAUAUUUAAGAACAGGAGCAAGGGUUUCAGUCAAUCAUCCUUCCUGCUCAGACUGUCGAGAGGGAUUCACUUGAUCAUCUGACCAAUUGGCAUGCCCAUUAGUUUACAUGGGGGGAGCCCAUUCAUCUGCUCAGACGGUGGGAAUGGAUUCACUCAGUCAUCUCAACUGAAGGUACAUCGGCAAGUUCACACUGGGACAAGGCCAUUCACCUGUUCUGUGUGUGAGCAGGGAUUCAGUGGGUCUUCCCACCUGUGGACACACCAGUCAAAUCACAUUGGGCAAAGACUGGUCAUCUGAAGAAUUUGUGGGGAAGCAUUCACUCUGUCAUCUGACCUAAUGGCUCAACAGCGAGUUCACACUCGGGAGCGGCCGUUCACCUGCUCAGACUGUGGGAAAGGAUUCACUCAGUCAUCUCAGUUACUGAGACACCAGUCAGUUCACACUGGGGACAGGCCAUUCAACUGCUCACUCUGCGGGAAGGGAUUCACUUCCGCAUAUCAGCUACUGAGACACCAGUCAGUUCACACCGGAGAGUGGCCGUUCACCUGCUCAGACUGUGGGAAGCGAUUCACUGAAUUAUCUCGACUGAAGAUACAUCAGUGAGUUCACACUGGAGAGAGGCCAUUCACCUGCUCAGAUUGUGGGAAGGGAUUCGCUCAGUCAUCUCAACUGAAGGUACAUCAGCGAGUUCACACUGGGGAAAGGCCAUUCACCUGCUCAGACUGUGGGAAGGGAUUCGCUUCGUCAUCCCAUCUGAAGAUACAUCAGCGAGUUCACACUGGAGAGAGGCCGUUCACCUGCUCAGACUGUGGGAAGGGUUUCUCUUCGUCAUCCCACCUGAAGGUACAUCAGCGAGUUCACACUGGAGAGAGGCCAUUCACCUGCUCAAACUGUGGGAAAGGAUUCACUCAGUCAUCCAUCCUAAAGGCACACCAGCGACUUCACACUGGGUAGAGACUGAUCUGCUCGGACUUUGGGAAAAGAUUCUCUCAGCCAAAUCAACCAGUGUGCAUCAUUGAGUUCACACUGGGGAGAGGCCAUUCACCGGCUGUGAAUGUAGGAAGCGAUUCACUCCAUCAUCUAAUCUUAUGUAGCUCUCAGUUCUUCUGGCAGCUUAACAGAGGGGGUUAUAGCCCCCCCCCCCCCCAGUCCAGUUUGGCCAAACUGAAGAAUCUCAUUUGGGUGGAUACUGUGCGAUGUGUCCCCUGUGUAAUGUGUCCCUGGGGUUCAUACUUUCUGUGGACUGUCUCUUUAAAAUGCAAAGAGAACCGAGACUGACAUUGGACACGCUGUUGGAUUUCUGCAGAAGUGCUGGGUUGCUAUGGUGACCAGCUAAUGUUUAUGUUCUGUGUGGUUAAGCAAGGUCAGAAUGAUCCUUUACCGACACAGAACAAGCAAGCGACUUCUUACAGAGAGAGGGGGCGGAGCUACGUGAUGGACAGCUGGUGUUCAGCACAACGGUAUUUAAACACAUGUAACUGCUUUUCUCGCAGGACACGCGGACGCACGAAGGCUCGUACGAAAGUUUCUGCUAGUUGGAUUUUCUUGUACCCACAAGGGUGGGAUUUGAGGAUCGAUAAAGAAGAAUCGAUCUGUGGCUGUUAGUGUGUGUAUGAGCGACCCUGUGGGAUCUACCGGUGAGUCUAACCCUUGCCUGGGUUGGGAGACUUUCUCUUGAAGAAGGUGCUCUUGAGUUGGUCACGUCUGGCUAACUUGGAAGAUUUGAUGGGCAUUGGAAAAGGUCGACAACACCUGUUUACUUGGAUUACAUCUCCAUCUCCCUCUCCCUCUCCCUUCUUCCCUCCCUCCCUCCUCCCCCCCCCCCCCCCCCCAAUCUUGUGAACUAAAUUGAAUCUACCACAUCAUCGUAAGACUAUGUCGUUUACCACCUAGGUUUUGGAUUUUAUAUACAGGUGGCUCCCGUUUUUCGGACGUUCGCUCUACAAGAGCUCACUGUUACGAAAGACCUACAUUAGUACCCGUUUUUGCUAACCAAAGAGGAUUUUCACUUUUACGAUAAAGAUGAUGACUGCUUUAUACGUGAGUUUACCCCGAGAAAGACUACCGUGACCGUGAAGCCUUGUGUGGCAGUUGUGUACGCAUGCGUGCACGUGCCGAUUUUGUUUCUCUCCAAAUCGAUUUCAGUUCACUAUCUUUCCGAUCUUCUGUGAAACUACACCGUAUAUACAAUAUUUCUACUUUAUAUAGUGUGUAUACUUAUCAUAUCAUUCCUACUUUUACUAUAGUUUAGUGUUAUUUUAGGUUUUAUGUGCUAUUUGGUAUGAUCUGGUGAGUUAUUCUUUGGGCCUGGGAACGUCCACAAUCUUUUCCCAUUUAAAUUAAUGGUGAUUGCUUCUUUGCUUCAUGACAUUUUGGCUUACAAACGGUUUCAUAGGAAUGCUCUACCUUCAGAUACCGGGGGUAACCUGUAUUCACACCUAUAUAUGCAUAAGAUUGCUAACCCUUGGAUUAUCUGGUUUAAGUACACUAUUAUUAGUAGUUACCAAUAAAAUAGUGUUUGUUCACUGCAAAACCAGACUCCAAGUGUGUUCAAUUGUUGCUGGUAGUUUUAUAGGUUUGUGUCUGUGUGACACCUGAAGUAACAAAUGGUACAUAAUAUGUGAUUAAACUAUUAAGAUUUAUAAUUCUUACUUUGACUAAAGGGUCAGUAAAGAAAACAAAAAAAAAAAGAAAAAAAGGCCCACUCUCUCCAUUCACGUCUUCUCAUCUCUCCCCAGCAAAAGGCCAUGAAAAUCUCUCUUCCAGACUCACAAGAAAGAACAUUUCUGUCAUUGGAUAGUCUCACACUCCAAAACCCUGUUAUCUCUAGUUGUAACCUAAACAUUGCUGCUGCAGAGAAACCAUUACCUCAGCAGUGAAACAUUACAGAGAGGCCGUUACAUCAGCAGUGAAACUUCACAGUAUGUUACACUUGUGACACAAUACCGGGUUCAAACUGGGGAGAAAGUUUCAAUGAGCUGCAUGCUGGAUAUUAGUCCAUCACCGUUGCUGAAUGCAAUUUCGAGACUGACUGUCGGUGCUGAACUCUGCAAUUAUUGCUGCUGCUCACCACACCCAGUUCUGCACCCUGGUCACUGGGCAUGGGAGGAAUUUCUUCUGCUGCACAUUCACCUUUAAUGGAACUGCAGUUUAAUAUUCUGGAUCUGAGACAAAUAAACCAGUUCUAUUUUAAACUCUGUCUUCCACCUACUAAAUCUGCCUCAGCUAUUCAAUGGUUUCUCUCUAAUUAUGGUAUCUCUGAUAUAUGGUGUUUUCUUCAUCCAACUGAGAGAGAUUAUUCUUUUUUUUUCACAUGUUCACCAUACCUUUACUAGAAUUGACUACUUCUUACUUGACAAUCAACACAUUCCAUUUGUCUAUUCUUGUGAUUAUCAGAGUAUACUGAUUUCUGACCAUGCCCCAAUUACUCUGUCCUUAAAUUUUCCUGGCCUUCCUCAGAGGAAUAAACUGGCGGUUUGAUUCAACUUUACUAUCAGAUGAUGAUUUUCUAAAAAUUAUCAAGGAUCAGAUAACCUUUUAUUUCAACACCAAUACAUCACCUGAAGUGUCUUCCCAGAUCGUCUGGGAUGCUAUGAAAGCAAAUCUGAGGGGUCAAAUAAUCUCCUAUACAGCAAAUCUUAAUAGAAAGUCCUGUGCAGAUCGAUUAGACCUCAUUAAUCAGAUUAAAGAAUUGGAUCAACUCUAUGCGCAAACUAAGAAUCUUGAACUAUACAAGAAACGUGUAGAACUUCAAACUAAAUUUAAUCUUCUGUCCACUCAAUCUGUCGAACGCCAACUUCUUGAAAGUAAGAGUCGUUUUUAUAUUCAU